rnacentral:misc_RNA from 1 species
AACUUUCAGCAAUGCAUCACUUGGCUCUCGCAUCGAUUAAGAACGCAGCGAAAUGCGAUAAGUAAUGUGAAUUGCAGAAUUCAGUGAAUCAUCGAAUCUUUGAACGCACCUUGCGCCCCUUGGCCAUUCCGAGGGGCAUGCCUGUUUGAGUAUCAUGAACACAUCAACUCUCACGGUUUGCCGUGACGAGCUUGGACUUUGGGGGUUUUGCCGGCCUGUGGUUGGCUCCUCUAAAAUGAAUCAGCGUGCCAGUGUUUUGGUGGCGACAUGGGUGUGAUAACUAUCUACGCUUGUGAUCGUCUGCCGAGUGACCUUCAGUGAUGGAGGUUUGCUGGAGCUCACAAAUGUCUCUCCUCGGUGAAGACAGCUUUUCGAACGUUCGAUCUCAAAUCAGGUAGGACUACCCGCUGAACUUAAGCAUAUCAAUAAGCGGAGGCU